UACGUAGGGGGCAAGCGUUGUCCGGAAUCACUGGGCGUAAAGGGCGCGUAGGCGGCCUGAUAAGUAGGGGGUGAAAUCCUGUGGCUUAACUGCAGGGCUGCCUCCUAGACUGUUAGGCUCGAGCACGGUAGAGGCAGAUGGAAUUCCCGGUGUAGCGGUGGAAUGCGUAGAGAUCGGGAAGAACAUCGGUGGCGAAGGCGGUCUGCUGGGCCGUUGCUGACGCUGAGGCGCGACAGCGUGGGGAGCAAACAGG
rnacentral:rRNA from 1 species